CAGGGUAAAGGAAACCAGGAUAAAUAAACCAUGAUAAAUAAACCAUGAUAAAUAAACCAGGAUACAGUAAACCAUGAUACAGUAAACCAUGAUGAGCAAGAGAUGUGGAGAUGGAAGACUUGCCUGUCAUGUCCUACAGUAAACCAUGAUAAAGCAAACCAGGAUAAAGUAAACCAGGAUAAAGUAAACCAGGAUAAAUAAACCAUGAUAAAUAAACCAGGAUACAGUAAACCAUGAUAAAGUAAACCAGGAUACAGUAAACCAGGAUAAAGUAAACCAGGAUACAGUAAACCAUGAUAAAGUAAACCAGGAUAAAGUAAUGCUCUUCUAUCUGGAUGACGUCCAGCUUGUUUAAUCUAGUCUGAACCUCCUCAGACUGGACCAACGUUUAAAUGUUUUCUGUUAUUCUGAAUGUCUUAACUCUGCUUUAGUGAAACCAAUCCUCAGAUUCAGGACCACCGUCACGGUUCAGGGUUUAGGAACCAGCUCAUGGCCUUGUGGCUUAACAAAACCAAGCUAAACUAAGCUAAGCUACGGUGUUUGUGUCAGCAGGGGAGCAGGAGGCGGGGCAGCAGGGAGCUGGAGCCACGCCCCCUCGCACCAUUGGCCAGCCAGGAUCCCGUUGACCAAUUAGACGGCGUCGAGGAAGGAAAGGAGGAGGAAGUGAUGAGAAUCUCUCCUCGCUCUGACAGCCCCAGGGACCUGCAGGACAUCCCAGAGGAGAGCGAGUGUGGAGCCGAUCCCAGUUAACAUCUCAGCUGAUGGGGGUCAGGGACCCGCUGAUGUCACCGUGAUCACUCGUUGCUGUCAGACUUUUAUUGUGAAAGCUGGAGAUGAUGUCAUUUCCUGUUUCACAGAAGUGUCCUGAAGUAUUUUCUGAAUGUUGCUGUUAGGUUUAGAAACAGGAAGUAUAACCAUGUGACCUGUUUACAUCAUCGUCAGCUGUAGCCCCGCCCAGACACGUUGGAGUGGGCGGGGCUUUCUUAUUGGGAGGGCGGGAUUUAUACAGUGUCAUAGGACUCAAAGAUGCGACACAUUAAUGGUCACCACACUACACUACCCAGAAUGCCUUUGGAUAUCAACAACUUGAGUCACAACCUGCUGUGUUCAGCUGGAUUAUAAUGUUUCUUCUUGUGGGAAUCAAACAGUGUAAACUGUAUUUAUAUGGUAAUUUAAAGCUAAACGUAGUUUAACAUUAGAAACAUUAUGUAGAAUUUUACUAUCAAAUAGUCCGAGAGACUAAAAUCUGUGUUUCUGUCAUUUGUGAAAGCAAAAAAAAGAGAAAAUAAUUCAAUUUAGGAACAACAACGUCAAGCCAGAAUUUAUAAGUUUACAGAAAUCUUUCCAGAGUGAAACAUUUUUUAAAGAAUCUCAGAAAGUUUAGUUUGUUUCAGGAAGGGGGGGGGGGUAUACUGUUGAGUCGUAGAUUGGUGGUGUUUUUAAAAAAAAACAGGAAGAUGUUUGCUGUCUGACUGAAACAUGACAUCACUGCUGCCUGUUAGCAUGUUAGCAUGGCUGUUUCUUUUAUACUUGUAUAGAACCUGAUCAUAUAUUUGUCUUAUUGAUUGGUUGGUUUUAACCAAUCAGCUUGUUUGAGGAAGGUUUUAUUGAGAUAAGGUGAAGAUGUUAAAGAUGGACGUCCAGUCAGUGUUGACAGUGAAUGUAGUUUAUUUAAGAAAAAACUUCCUCAGACCCGCUGUUUUGACCCAGAGUGCUGAAUCCUCCUGCUGCAGAGCCGGCUGUGCCUACAUGUACCAGGAUGCAUUGCACGCGAGCUUCUGAAGGUCAUAUCCUCGACACUAAUGCAGCCGCAGUGUCUGUGCUGCCUCUAUGGAUCCAAUAAAUACAGCUGAACACUAUAGAUGUCCUCAUCCAGAGCGUCCUCGUCCAGAGCGUCCUCUGACCUCAUAUUAUGGGAUGCCAUCAUCACUGUUAGCAAUACAAGCAAAGAGAACGCAGUAGUUGUGUUUGUGAGCUCCAUGUAGAGCACAGCGCCCUCUGGCUGUGUGGAGGACUACAAUCUGAAACAGUCUGUAGUUCUUCUUCCUCUAUCUCGCCUUUAGUCACAUGACAGCAGCACUGAGGACUGCCUCCAUGAACUACAUUUACCAUCAACACUGACUGGAGAGUUUUACCCUUUAACCAAAAAGCUGUCUUUAUUGAACUUUGGUCACAGUGUUUACUGAUGACGGUUCAUCUCAGUCCACAUGUUGGAGAACAGCGUGUGGACGUUUAUACAUCUGCAGAUUUUUUACAAACAUUUCAUUAUAGAUUUAAAAAAAGGAGUUUAAUCAUUCUGAUGAGUUUAAAUCAAAAUUAUCUCAGUGUGAAGGACGACAGGUGGACUGUCUCACUCAUCAGGGUUUAAAGCAUGAGACAUGAACCACAGACUGAAGAUAUUUAACGAUGGUUCACGUGAAGGAAUAAAAACUUAAAGUGUUAAAGAUCACAUGAUAGAAAAACAUAAAAAUGAUCAUCAUCGUUCUCUGGAACACAUUUAAGCAUUUCUAAUAAUACACAGACGGUUCAAAGGAGGAACGAACAUAAAAUGAAUGAAUAUUAAUCUCUUAAUAAGAUGCCAAGUUGUGUUAUUUACACAUUUCAUCAUGUUUAUUAAAAGUACAAAUGUCUUUUAGCACAUUUCUAUGUUUCAGGUGUUUUGGUAUCAUGUGAUCCGAGUUCAUCAGAAGGAAACUGAAGCUUUUUAUCAUGAAGUCUGACUUCUGAAGACUCGUUCAGGUGAUUCUGAUCUGGAGUCAGAAACGUUCAGAUGAAGUAAAGUGUUUGUACAAAGAUUUCAUCAGAAGACUGAAAAAGAUUUUUGCUGUAAGUUUAUUGUUUGUGUGCUCUUUAUAAAUAAUCAGCUGGA